rnacentral:lncRNA from 1 species
AAUAGGAACAUAAUUUCUUGUUGGUCCCUUGUCGUUUAUUAUGAUAUAUAUAUUGGCCAUUUUAUUAUUUCUAUAAAUAAUUUUGGCCAUUUCUACUAAAGAAAUAAUAUAAUAAGUUAUCAUAACUACUCUUAAUCAAAUAUUACUAACUAGGGAUGUAUUAGGCCUUAAUUUAAUGGAGGUAAGAUCUGUCACAUGUGAGACACCGCAUAGAACUACAAUAAUUUUGAAGAAGCCUCAACAACUAAAUUCACAGGGGGAAAGAAUCAAAUUUCCUUUGGUUAUUGAUCUGAAGGAUAAGAAAAAUAAUUCUUUCAAAGCAAGAGUUACAUGUCGGGAAUUCUCGGACAGUUUGAGUAGAGAUAGAACAUUCAAUAUACGACUAAAAAAUGCGUGGGUGUCAGUGACCUAUGAUGGGGUGGCUGACCAUCUAUCCCAAUUCAUAAGAGUAGAAGGCAUUAAAGUGGCGCAACCGAAGCCCAUGGAUUCCCAGGACAUGAAAAAAUCCUUGUUAUUUCAACAAUUUCCCCAUCUUUUAAAGCAGCGCAGUUCUUCCUUAAAAAUUCUGUCAAGAGGAACCCCCAAAAAUAUCAACUAGAGUUUGAUAGGGCGACCAAGCAAUGUUCUAUAUGCUUUGAAUUUAGAAAUGGCAGGAUUAAAUGCAAGUAAUUGACUAAGGGACUAAAGACGUAUUCGCAGUGGAUCAAAAGUAGGGUCCACUUCCAGCCAAACGGACAUAUAAUCAUCUUCACGGAAAACGUCAAUUCCAAAAUCUCUCCCAAGUCUUCACGAAUAAGAUAAUGUUAAUGAAACACCUGAGGAAUCUACACAAGGAGAUUGAAACUAAAAGGGAAGUUACGAGCCAACGAGUUAAAAUAAAUAAAUCUAUAAACGACUUAGAAACACUCAAUAUUUUAUGAACAUUGUAAAUUUUUUGAUAACGUCAACAAACUUAUAGUAUAUUCAUUAAAUAAACAUUUAAAUGGUG